rnacentral:lncRNA from 1 species
GUCGGGUGCUCUUACCUGUUGAGCCAUCUCACCAGCCCGAACCUAAAACUUUGAAACACUGUUGAACGAAUUUGGAAGGUGUUAAGGAAUAAACAACUGAUUUUAAAAGCUACGGUUUGGAAAAGCUACGAAGAGCAAACACAAUCAGUAUGCUUUUCAAAUUAGCUCCAGACACAAUCACCUUCCAGAACCAAGUGUACACUGCCAGAGGCACAGGGGAAGCGGGUAGCCUCUGAAACACUAACGGGUUACCAUGCUUGCUUGAUUAGUAUUUCUCCUUUUAAAGUAUGUUCUCAGCCUGAGUAUAUUUUAACGAUGUGUUUGUGUGUGUGUGUGUGUGUGUGUGUGUGUGUGUGUGUGUAUUGCACCACAUGCAUACUUGAUGUCUACAGAGGUCAGAAAGGCUGUUGGAUUCCCCUGGAACUGCAUUUGGAAACAGAUGUGAUCUGCGUGUGGGAGAGAAAGCCAAGCCCUGGUGCUCUGGAACCAAUGCUCCUGCGGGCAAUGCUCUUGCUCCCUGAGCCAUCUCUAAAGACGAAUGUCCCUUCCACCCAGGAAUUUCUCUCUCAGACAUCAUCUGACCUGUGUGCAAAGCUGAGCAUGAGUGACUCCAUACCUCUCAGCUAGAAUAACGGAAAGCACUUAACUUCCCAUCCUUCAGAGUCCAACUAGCUAGAUCUAUGACAGACGCACAGAGUGGCCAAUGAGCAGAAGCACUGAAGAAAACAGACACAGUCUCCUGUUUCCAAGACAGCAAAGAGAACUGCAAAGGAGAACAUACACCCACCUUUUCAAGGAUGUCUGCUUUUCGGCAGAUUGGUCCACGCCCCUCCUGUGCCCAUGAGCUUCCAGAGCUGUGAGGUCUCCCCCACCCACAUUGGGAUCCACCUGUUCCAGACUUCACUUUAUCCUUCUUUGCCUGGAUACCCUGAGGGAAGAAGUGAAAAAUGGAACAACAGAUAAGGAAACAGAAGCAGCAGCUCAGAUAACUUACUUGAGGAGGAUGCACAUUUUUGUAUGGGGAACUUAUAAACAGACACAAGCUGAGAAGGCUAGGCUGACUCCAUGACAGGCUUCAAAUUGACAGUUCAGGAGACAAGGCCUAAAUCUCUGUUUCCAAGAACUGGGUAAGUCCAGGCAAGUCCAGGCCUCAGAAGCUGCCUUGCCACCUGGCCUGAGGCAAGGACAACGAGUCAGCAGCAGUUUUUAGACUUUCUCAGCCAAAAGUUUCCAGACCUCCCCGGCAACAGUUUCUAGCUCCCACACCCCAGAAAUGGUUCUGGAAUGUCCCUAGAGAUGGAGAAAGAUAAAGGUCACCUACCCCCCGAAAUUCCUCUAAUGUGCUUUAAAAUGGGCCUGUGAGCUCACUUGGUUGUCUUUUUUUGGUAAUGGGAGACUCCAACAUGCUGGAUUUCUGCAGAAUAAAACACUCUUUGCAUUUACAUACUAA